rnacentral:rRNA from 1 species
UACGUAGGGCGCAAGCGUUGUCCGGAAUUAUUGGGCGUAAAGAGCUCGUAGGCGGUUUGUCGCGUCUGCUGUGAAAACCUAAGGCUCAACCUUGGGCUUGCAGUGGGGUACGGGCAGACUAGAGUGCGGUAGGGGUGACUGGAAUUCCUGGUGUAGCGGUGGAAUGCGCAGAUAUCAGGAGGAACACCGAUGGCGAAGGCGGCUAUC